AGGACCACUAUUCUUCCACAAAAACGAGCAUACAGCUGCUGCCACCCAAAAUCCAAACCCAUUCCAGCGGCAAGUCCAUUGUCUAUGAACAUCAAGAGGCGAAAAACAAAAACAGCAGUGUAAUCAACCACAAUCCAUAUGUGCAACGGGUAUGUGCAAAGAUGAUAUCUUUUCCAAUUGAUUGCAACAAUGAUUAGAUUUGUGGCCAGCAUCGACAAGAAGAAGCCAUCGUACCACUUGAAAUCGACGCCUCUGAUAGCCAUAACCAGAAAACCCUAAAAGACCAAGAACUGAAUUCGCGUUUCAGUCAUGACAUGACAAUGCUCGGAAUCCGACGCCCCAAGAUGAAUCGAAAACCCUAAAGGACUUAGACUGACACCAAGAACUGAAUCCUCAUUCCAAUCAUCACAUGAAAAUG
rnacentral:misc_RNA from 1 species